UUCUCCCUGAGUCAUCCUUGCUCCCUCCCUCCUCAUUCUCUUUCAUUUCCUGGGCUUGUGUUGCUACGUUGGAAGUCUGUCUGUCUCCUGGAAAGGGCAGAGCAAGUCCACUGUGGGCACUGUGUUUAGUCUUGAGUCAGAGGAGGAGGAAUACCCUGGAAUCACUGCAGAAGAUAGCAAUGACAUUUACAUUCUGCCCAGCGACAACUCUGGACAAGUCAGUCCCCCAGAGUCUCCAACUGUGACCACUUCCUGGCAGUCUGAGAGCUUACCUGUGUCGCUGUCAGCUAGCCAGAGUUGGCACACAGAAAGCCUGCCAGUGUCACUAGGCCCUGAGUCCUGGCAGCAGAUUGCAAUGGAUCCUGAAGAAGUGAAAAGCUUAGACAGCAACGGAGCUGGAGAGAAGAGUGAGAACAACUCCUCUAAUUCUGACAUUGUGCACGUGGAGAAAGAAGAGGUACCCGAGGGCAUGGAAGAGGCUGCUGUGGCUUCUGUGGUCUUGCCAGCGCGGGAGCUGCAAGAGGCACUUCCUGAAGCCCCAGCUCCCUUGCUUCCACAUAUCACUGCCACCUCCCUGCUGGGGACAAGGGAACCUGACACAGAAGUGAUCACAGUUGAGAAAUCCAGCCCUGCUACAUCUCUGUUUGUAGAACUUGAUGAAGAAGAGGUGAAAGCAGCAACAACUGAACCUACUGAAGUGGAGGAGGUGGUCCCCGCACCGGAACCCACAGAAAUGCUGCUGAGUGAGAAGGAGACAAACGCAAGGGAAGAGAGCCUUGUGGAAGAGCUGUCCUCUCCCGGCGAGAAGAAGCCCAUGCCGCUGUCUGAGGGCAAGUCUAGACUGUCCCCCGCCGGUGAGAUGAAGCCCAUGCCGCUGUCUGAGGGCAAGUCUAUACUGCUGUUUGGAGGGGCUGCUGCUGUUGCCAUCCUGGCAAUGGCCAUUGGGGUAGCCCUGGCUCUGAGAAAGAAAUAGGAGGCUUUUCAGAAGAGAAAGACAGAAGGAUGUAAGGUUGGAGUUGUAUUGGCUGGAAUUUGAACCUCCAGCAGCUGUCUGGACAUUUGUGGAACACUCUGGGGUAAUUGGGGACUUCUGCUCAAUAUGGCAGUGG
rnacentral:sRNA from 1 species